UACGUAGGGUGCGAGCGUUGUCCGGAAUUAUUGGGCGUAAAGGGCUCGUAGGCGGUCUGUUACGUCGGGAGUGAAAACUCAGGGCUCAACCCUGAGCCUGCUUCCGAUACGGGCAGACUAGAGGUAUGCAGGGGAGAAUGGAAUUCCUGGUGUAGCGGUGAAAUGCGCAGAUAUCAGGAGGAACACCGGUGGCGAAGGCGGGUCUCUGGGCCGAUACUGACGCUGAGGAGCGAAAGCGUGGGGAGCGAACAGG
rnacentral:rRNA from 1 species